rnacentral:rRNA from 1 species
UACGUAGGGAGCAAGCGUUAUUCGGAAUUAUUGGGCGUAAAGGGCGCGUAGGCGGCCUGGCAAGUGGAUGGUGAAAUCCCUCGGCUUAACCGAGGAACUGCCAUCCAGACUGCUUGGCUUGAGACCGGGAGAGGUGAGUGGAAUUCCCAGUGUAGCGGUGAAAUGCGUAGAUAUUGGGAGGAACACCAGUGGCGAAGGCGGCUCACUGGACCGGUACUGACGCUGAGGCGCGAAAGCGUGGGGAGCAAACGGG